GGGUGGUGUCAUCUGCAUAUCUGAGGUUAUUAAUGUUUCUCCCGGCAAUCUUGAUUCCAACUUGUGUUUCACCCAGCCCAGUGUUUCUCAUCAUGUACUCUGCAUAUAAGUUAAAUAAGCACAGUGACAACAUACAUCCUUGACGUACUCCUUUUCCUAUUUGGAACCAGUCUGUUGUUCCAUGUCCAGUUCUAACUGUUGCUUUGUGACCUGCAUACAGAUUUCUCAAGAGGCAGAUCAGGUGGUAUUCCCAUCUCUUUCAGAAUUUUCCACAGUUUAUUGUGAUCCACACAGUCAAAGGCUUUGGCAUAGUCAAUAAAGCAGAAAUAGAUGGAACUCUCUUGCUUUUUCAAUGAUCCAGCAGAUGUUGGCAAUUUUCUCUAGUUCCUCUGCCUUUUCUAAAACCAGCUUGAACAUCAGGAAGUUCACGGUUCAUGUAUUGCUGAAGCCUGGCUUGGAGAAUUUUGAGCAUUACUUUACUAGCGUGUGAGAUGAGUGCAAUUGUGUGGUAGUUUGAGCAUUCUUUGGCAUUACCUUUCUUUGGGAUUAGAAUGAAAAUUGACCUUUUCCAGUCCUGUGGCCACUGCUGAGUUUUCCAGUUUUGCUGGCAUAUUGAGUGCCAGCAAUAAUCAUCUUUUAGGAUUUGAAAUAGCUCAAGUGGAAUUCCAUCAUCUCCACUAGCUUUGUUCUCUAGAUGUGUCCUUAGAGCCAGUAAGAUUCCUGACAGCCAGGUGCAGAGCAUGGAAGAGCCAGCAGAGUUGGAGUGCCCAAGCCUUGGAAAGGACGUUGCCUGCAGCUGAGAUGUGGAAGAAGCUACAGGGGGGAUCAGAGUCUGCUUAGGCAUGUGGAAUGUGAGGUGGCCUGACUGCUGGAGUUGGAAGGGAGAUCUGGGAGGCAACUGUCACUUUGGAGUCAUUUGCAUAUUGAUUAUUUACACCUAAGAGCUGGAUGAGCUCACCCAGAAGGUGAGGAUAAAGGGAACAGGGAAAGCAGAGCCUACAGCAUUAAGAAUCCAAAGGAGUUUGCUCCAGCAAAGGAGGGUAAGAAGAGGAAGUCUCUGGGUAGGGGGUCUGUGUUCCUGGAGCCAGUGAGGAAAAUACAAUGUGCAGCAGAGUGAUUGGCUGUUUCAGAUGAUCCUAAGUGAAAACCUCAGAAUUGGCCAUUGCAUUCAUCACCCCUAGGUCCUUAAUGAAUUGGGGAGCAGAAUGGACAACACUAAAGGGGUUUUGUUGCAAAAGAGAGGAAAGAAAUGGGGCCAUAGUUUUCAAGAGAAAUAGGAUCAAUAAAAAAAUCUUUUUUAUUCAGAAAAAUAACAGCAUGUUUGUAAAUCAGUCUGAUCCAAUGAGGGCUUCUUUUAAAAGUGAUGCAGAACAGAAAGGGAUGUGUGGAGUGAUGUCUUCAGGUAAGCAGAGGAGACUGGAGCUAGCACCAGGCGGCUGCUCAGCCAGAGAGGAGCCUGCGGGUAACAGAUGGGCGCGGAGGCAGAGCGUGGGUGGUGGCGGGUGGAGCUUGGAAGUUCUCUGGCUUCUUCACUUGUCUUGGUGAAGUGAGAAGUGAGGCAGCAUCUGCUGAGUGAAGAUGGAGGAAGAUGAGGUGUAGGAUGUGAGGAGAGGAGAGAAAGUGUGAAUGUUGCCCAGGAGAGUGGGAAAGGGGAGGAGGGGCUCAGACUUCACUCGGCAGUUCCAGGAAGGGUUUGUUAGGACAUGGAUUGCUGGGAUUGUCUGAUUUAGUAGAGCUGGGAAUUCGUUUCUGACAACUGCCAGGCUGAGCUUCCCUGGGGACCCCCUUCUCCUCUUGGUUGCUUCAGAAGGACCAGUGUGGAUGUGCUGCGAUGAGUCAGCAGGAGGGGAAGAGCAGUUUUUCCAGCCAUGUCCCACUUGCUUUUCAGUUUAUCUGAAUUACUUUUCCUGUUUGUUGGCUUUAGUUUCUAUCUUUUAAGUUAGAAGUUUGGUCUACUAGUCUUAUGCUGCAGAAGCUGAUUGGAAAUUCUGGUCUGAGUUGUGUUGAGUGGCCUGGCUCAUCCAGUUGGGGAAGCACUGGGAUCGGUGUCUGGGAUCCAUCAGUCCCUGCUGAGCAGCUCCCCAGUGAGGAAGAAUGGACAAUCACCCUCUCUGAUGGUACUGCAACCAUGACCUAGCUGUCCUAUCCUCUGAGUCAAAGGUCAGAACUCCAUACAGAAAAGAAGGCUCCAGUUUGUCUCAGGAAGGGGAGGAGCCCACUGCUGGGCAGGUAGGGAGGCAUCAUGGUAUCUGGGGGCCCAGCCUCUUCCCCACCCUCCAGAUGCCCUGGUGCUGCUGAGAUCCCCGCAGUACGCAGGAUCUGGGCAGCUGCCGGGAAGCUUCCUCAGGAUGUGGCUGUUUCCUCCCCCUUGACUUCAUGCUCUUUGGGCAUCAGCUGGGCACAGGCUGCUCGCUGACCCUGGGAGGGCCCAAGUGCUCAGACCACAGCUCCUCUCCCCAGCUCCCCAGUGAGUUUGCAGGGCCCGGCAUGGCCCAAUGCUUUUGAGCUCACGAGAGUGUUGAGGGACUAUUCCUGAGCUAUACUGAGCAACUACCCCAUGCCAUAAUCACCACACCCAGAGCAGAACUGAAACGUCCCAUUAAUGUACCAGCCCCUUUACUACCACCGGUAGGUGUAGGGUCUAGUGAGGGGUGAGUGCUGUUUGUACCCAGACUGUUUGUGGAAGUUUCCUCACCUUGAAUUGUCUUACUAACUUAUUUUUGAUUUUGUCCCAUAUAGAAAACCAUUAGAAAAAAUAUGUAAUGGAAAAAUGUUAAGCGUUUGUAAAACACCAUAGUUUCUCAGUUAUUUUACCAUCACAAAUAUUUGCCAUAUCUGGAAGAAUAGACCUCAAAGGUCACUGAGAGCAGCGGUGGAAGGAGGGAAGAGGAGGACAGAGAGGGGCCGGGCCUGCUGACAUGGCCCACGCCGUGUCCGGGGAGAGGUGGGGAGACUGGUCUCUCACACCAGCCUCACUGAGUUCCAGGCUGAGCUCUGCCACUUUCAAUAAAGAAUGAAGGGUUGUGGGGAGAAUUAAAUAAUUCUAGCACAGUGCAAAUAUUCAAUAAAAUUGUCACUUUUACUAUAAGCAGGGAUUAGUAACUGACAUCAGAUCAUUUUCCAGGGAAAAAAGUUUGUGAUAAUGGACUGGCUGCUUCUGUGCUAGCACCACCUCAGAGAGCAGUGGGCAGCCCGGCCACCAGGCAGAGCAGCUUUUAUCAGUUCUUCCUGCUGUUGUCACAGGAGGUGCUUGCCCUCCCACUGUAGCAUGCACACGUCCACAGCAUAUUCUAGGAAUAUUGUUUUAAUAACUUUAAGUGGAUGAUCAUCUAUAAAAAUACCGACUCACCAGUUGUAUACCUGAAAUUAUGCUUGGGGCUGGUGCACUGGGAUGACCCAGAGGGAUGGUACGGGGAGGGAGGUGGGAGGGGGGUUGAAGAUGGGGAACACGUGUACACCCGUGGUGGAUUCAUGUUGAUGUAUGGCAAAACCAAUAC
ensembl:lncRNA